rnacentral:rRNA from 1 species
CCUACGGGUGGCAGCAGUGAGGAAUAUUGGUCAAUGGACGAGAGUCUGAACCAGCCAAGUAGCGUGAAGGAUGACUGCCCUAUGGGUUGUAAACUUCUUUUAUAGGGGAAUAAAAUGUGCCACGUGUGGGAUUUUGUAUGUACCAUAUGAAUAAGGAUAGGCUAACUCCGUGCCAGCAGCCGCGGUAAUACGGAGGGUCCGAGCGGUAUCCGGAUUUAUUGGGUUUAAAGGGAGCGUAGGUGGAUUGUUAAGUCAGUUGUGAAAGUUUGCGGCUCAACCGUAAAAUUGCAGUUGAAACUGGCAGUCUUGCGUCCCGUAGAUGUGUGCGGAAUUCGUGGUGUAGCGG